GUUCGCGUGGCGUAGUGGUUAUCGCGUCGCCUUUACAUAAUCAUUACGUGAUUAAAAUCGGCGAAGGUCCUGGGUUCGACCCCCAGCGUGAACA